rnacentral:rRNA from 1 species
AGAACGAACGCUGGCGGCAUGCCUAAUACAUGCAAGUCGAACGAACUCUUCGGAGUUAGUGGCGCACGGGUGCGUAACGCGUGGGAAUCUGCCCUUGGGUUCGGAAUAACAGUUGGAAACGACUGCUAAUACCGGAUGAUGACGAAAGUCCAAAGAUUUAUCGCCCAGGGAUGAGCCCGCGUAGGAUUAGCUAGUUGGUGAGGUAAAGGCUCACCAAGGCGACGAUCCUUAGCUGGUCUGAGAGGAUGAUCAGCCACACUGGGACUGAGACACGGCCCAGACUCCUACGGGAGGCAGCAGUAGGGAAUAUUGGACAAUGGGCGAAAGCCUGAUCCAGCAAUGCCGCGUGAGUGAUGAAGGCCUUAGGGUUGUAAAGCUCUUUUACCGAGAUGAUAAUGACAGUAUCGGAGAAUAAGCCCCGGCUAACUCCGCGCCAAGCAGCCGC